GCGGCCUAUCAGCUUGUUGGUGGGGUGAUGGCCUACCAAGGCGACGACGGGUAGCCGGCCUGAGAGGGUGUCCGGCCACACUGGGACUGAGAUACGGCCCAGACUCCUACGGGAGGCAGCAGUGGGGAAUAUUGCACAAUGGGCGCAAGCCUGAUGCAGCGACGCCGCGUGGGGGAUGACGGCCUUCGGGUUGUAAACCUCUUUCACCAUCGGCGAAGCCGGGAGCUUUUGUUUCUGGUGACGGUAGGUGGAGAAGAAGCACCGGCCAACUACGUGCCAGCAGCCGCGGUAAUACGUAGGGUGCGAGCGUUGUCCGGAAUUACUGGGCGUAAAGAGCUCGUAGGUGGUUUGUCGCGUUGUUCGUGAAAUCUCACGGCUUAACUGUGAGCGUGCGGGCGAUACGGGCAGACUGGAGUACUGCAGGGGAGACUGGAAUUCCUGGUGUAGCGGUGGAAUGCGCAGAUAUCAGGAGGAACACCGGUGGCGAAGGCGGGUCUCUGGGCAGUAACUGACGCUGAGGAGCGAAAGCGUGGGGAGCGAACAGGAUUAGAUACCCUGGUAGUCCACGCCGUAAACGGUGGGUACUAGGUGUGGGUUUCCUUCCUUGGGAUCCGUGCCGUAGCUAACGCAUUAAGUACCCCGCCUGGGGAGUACGG
rnacentral:rRNA from 1 species